UCACACGGCGACUAUUUUGAC
ensembl:piRNA 21ur-2058 ncRNA